rnacentral:rRNA from 1 species
GAUGAACGCUGGCGGCGUGCCUAAUACAUGCAAGUCGAGCGAACAGACGAGGAGCUUGCUCCUCUGACGUUAGCGGCGGACGGGUGAGUAACACGUGGAUAACCUACCUAUAAGACUGGGAUAACUUCGGGAAACCGGAGCUAAUACCGGAUAACAUGUUGAACCGCAUGGUUCAACAGUGAAAGACGGUCUUGCUGUCACUUAUAGAUGGAUCCGCGCCGCAUUAGCUAGUUGGUAAGGUAACGGCUUACCAAGGCAACGAUGCGUAGCCGACCUGAGAGGGUGAUCGGCCACACUGGAACUGAGACACGGUCCAGACUCCUACGGGAGGCAGCAGUAGGGAAUCUUCCGCAAUGGGCGAAAGCCUGACGGAGCAACGCCGCGUGAGUGAAGAAGGUCUUAGGAUCGUAAAACUCUGUUAUUAGGGAAGAACAAAUGUGUAAGUAACUAUGCACGUCUUGACGGUACCUAAUCAGAAAGCCACGGCUAACUACGUG